UAACGUAGGGGGCAAGCGUUGGUCCGGAUUUAUUGGGCGUAAAGAGCGUGUAGGCGGCCGUACAGGUCAGCUGUAAAAACUCGAGGCUCAACCUCGAGACGUCGGUUGAACCGAUACGGCUAGAGUCCGGAAGAGGAGAGUGGAAUUCCGGUGUAGCGGUGAAAUGCGCAGAUAUCGGGAAGAACACCCGUGGCGAAGGCGGCUCUCUGGGACGGUACUGACGCUGAGACGCGAAAGCGUGGGGAGCGAACAGG
rnacentral:rRNA from 1 species